CCUACGGGUGGCAGCAGUGGGGAAUAUUGCACAAUGGGGGAAACCCUGAUGCAGCGACGCCGCGUGAGUGAAGAAGUAUUUCGGUACGUAAAGCUCUAUCAGCAGGGAAGAAAAUGACGGUACCUGACUGAGAAGCACCGGCUAACUACGUGCAAGCAGCCGCGGUAAUACGUAGGGGGCAAGCGUUAUCCGGAUUUACGGGGUGUAAAGGGGGCGUAGAGGGUAGCGCAAGUCUGGAGUGAAAUCCCAUGGCUUAACCAUGGAACUGCUUUGGAAACUGUGCAGCUGGAGGUCAGGAGAGGUAGGCGGAAUGUCUAGUGUAGCGGUGAAAUGCGUAGAUAUUAGACGGAACACCAGUGGCGAAGGCGGCUUACUGGACUGUAACUGACGUUGAGGCUCGAAAGCGUGGGGAGCAAACAGGAUUAGAUACCCUAGUAGUC
rnacentral:rRNA from 1 species